rnacentral:tmRNA from 1 species
GGGGAUGUUUAGGAUUCGACAGGUAUAGGUCGAACUUAAACUGCGCUUAGUAGGUUGCGACUACUAUAAAACGCUCAGUUAAAUAUAACUGCAAAAAAUAAUAAUAACUCAUACGCUUUAGCUGCCUAAUCGUAGCGAGCGUAUAAUCUUGAUUAGUAUCGUCCAUGUACUAAUUAAGGUUUUAUAAGUAGUGGACUACGUUAUUAACUCCCACCUGAAGUUAAUAAAAGAGAUUAAUCAGGUUAGCUAUUAAUGAUAGCCAUGUUGCACGGCGGAAUUAAUAGUGAAUUUUAAAUAGUGCAACUAUGAACGUAGAUGUUUAGGUGGCGAUAUGCUUGGACGCGGGUUCGACUCCCGCCAUCUCCAU